rnacentral:rRNA from 1 species
UCGCCGCUGCGGCGUGCCUAAUACAUGCAAGUCGAGCGGACAGAUGGGAGCUUGCUCCCUGAUGUUAGCGGCGGACGGGUGAGUAACACGUGGGUAACCUGCCUGUAAGACUGGGAUAACUCCGGGAAACCGGGGCUAAUACCGGAUGGUUGUUUGAACCGCAUGGUUCAAACAUAAAAGGUGGCUUCGGCUACCACUUACAGAUGGACCCGCGGCGCAUUAGCUAGUUGGUGAGGUAAUGGCUCACCAAGGCAACGAUGCGUAGCCGACCUGAGAGGGUGAUCGGCCACACUGGGACUGAGACACGGCCCAGACUCCUACGGGAGGCAGCAGUAGGGAAUCUUCCGCAAUGGACGAAAGUCUGACGGAGCAACGCCGCGUGAGUGAUGAAGGUUUUCGGAUCGUAAAGCUCUGUUGUUAGGGAAGAACAAGUACCGUUCGAAUAGGGCGGUACCUUGACGGUACCUAACCAGAAAGCCACGGCUAACUACGUGCCAGCAGCCGCGGUAAUA